rnacentral:tRNA from 1 species
AUUUAAAUAGCUUAUAAAAUAGAGCAUGACAUUGAAGAUGCCAAGGAAAAUUUAAUAUUUUUUAAAUA